UAGCUUCCAAUUAUUUGUAAAACCACUCUUAGAUGUCUUACCUGCUAGAAAAGCUUGUCUUUCAAAUAUUCAUUAGCUGUUUGUAAAAAUAACUCAGUUUUUCUUAUUUCUAAUAGUCGCCUCUCUUGUCAUUGUAAUCGCUUAAACUUAGUUUCAAAUUUCUUGAUUAAUUCAUUUGAAGCCAUUUGAUUCCCUGGGCUAUGCUCAAUCCACUAUAAAAAAGUCUAUUUUUAUAUUCAUUCUGAAUUUUCUUUAAAAAAUUCAUCUUUCAAGAGUUCUUCAAAUUU
rnacentral:lncRNA from 1 species